AAACUUGUUUUGGCAAGAAACACAGAAGUUAUGGCAUUAAACUCUCAUCAAAGACAAAAUAUCUGCCAUCACUACAACGGUCCCUUCACCUCUAUAUAAAGGACGGCAAACUUCAUUGAGAUAACUUGUUUUGGCAAGAAACACAGAAGUUAUGGCAUUAAACUCUCAUCAAAGACAAAAUAUCUGCCAUCACUACAACGGUCCCUUCACCUCUAUAUAAAGGACGGCAAACUUCAUUGAGAGACACACCUGAAC
rnacentral:lncRNA from 1 species